rnacentral:rRNA from 1 species
GAUGAACGCUGGCGGCGUGCCUAACACAUGCAAGUCGAGCGAUUUACUUCGGUAAAGAGCGGCGGACGGGUGAGUAACGCGUGGGUAACCUGCCCUGUACACACGGAUAACAUACCGCAAGGUAUGCUAAUACGAGAUAAUAUACUUUUAUCGCAUGGUAGAAGUAUCAAAGCUUUUGCGGUACAGGAUGGACCCGCGUCUGAUUAGCUAGUUGGUAAGGUAACGGCUUACCAAGGCGACGAUCAGAAGCCGACCUGGGAGGGUGAUCGGCCACAUUGGAACUGAGACACGGUCCAAACUCCUACGGGAGGCAGCAGUGGGGAAUAUUGCACAAUGGGCGAAAGCCUGAUGCAGCAACGCCGCGUGAGCGAUGAAGGCCUUCGGGUCGUAAAGCUCUGUCCUCAAGGAAGAUAAUGACGGUACUUGAGGAGGAAGCCCCGGCUAACUACGUGCCAGCAGCCGCCGUAA